rnacentral:rRNA from 1 species
GACGAACGCUGGCGGCGUGCUUAACACAUGCAAGUCGAACGGUAAGGCCCUGCUGGGGGUGGGUGCGCGGGGGGCGAACGGGUGAGUAAUACGUAAGUAGCCUGCGCUUCAGGUUGGGAUGACGGAAAGAAACGGGGGUUAAGACCGGAUAUGAUCUCCUUCUGGGGGGGGGGGGGUGGAAAGUGUCGGCGGGUGGGGAUGGGCUCGCGGCUUAUCAGCUUGUUGGUGGGGUAGUGGCUCACCAAGGCUUUGACGGGUAGCCGGCCUGAGAGGGUGACCGGCCACAUUGGGACUGAGAUACGGCCCAGACUCCUACGGGAGGCAGCAGUGGGGAAUAUUGCACAAUGGGCGGAAGCCUGAUGCAGCAACGCCGCGUGCGGGAUGACGGCCUUCGGGUUGUAAACCGCUUUCAGUAGUGACGAAGGGUGACUGACGGUACCGACAGAAGAAGGACCGGCUAACUACGUG